rnacentral:rRNA from 1 species
GAUGAACGCUGGCGGCGUGCCUAAUACAUGCAAGUCGAGCGAACGGACGAGAAGCUUGUUUCUCUGAUGUUAGCGGCGGACGGGUGAGUAACACGUGGAUAACCUACCUAUAAGACUGGGAUAACUUCGGGAAACCGGAGCUAAUACCGGAUGAUAUUUUGAACCGCAUGGUUCAAAAGUGAAAGACGGUCUUGCUGUCACUUAUAGAUGGAUCCGCGCUGCAUUAGCUAGUUGGUAAGGUAACGGCUUACCAAGGCAACGAUGCAUAGCCGACCUGAGAGGGGGGUCGGCCACACUGGAACUGAGACACGGUCCGGACUCCUACGGGAGGCAGCAGUGGGGAAUCGUCCGCAAUGGGCGAAAGCCUGACGUAGCAACGCCGCGUGGGUGAUGAAGGUCUUCGGAUCGUAAAACUCUGUUAUUAGGGAAGAACAUAUGUGUAAGUAACUGUGCACAUCGUGACGGUACCUAAUCAGAAAGCCACGGCUAACUACGUG